CUAGUUCCUUGGACAGGACGUCAUAGAGGGUGAGAAUCCCGUACGUGACCGGCCGUCAACCCCAUGUGAGGCUCCUUCGACGAGUCGAGUUGUUUGGGAAUGCAGCUCUNAAUGGGUGGUAAAUUUCAUCUAAAGCUAAAUACCGGCCAGAGACCGAUAGCGCACAAGUAGAGUGAUCGAAAGAUGAAAAGCACUUUGAAAAGAGAGUUAAAAAGUACGUGAAAUUGUUGAAAGGGAAGCGCUUGCAACCAGACUUGCUCACCGGCGAUUUCCCGUCCUUCGGGGCGGGGCCACCGCCUUGCGCAGGCCAGUAUCGGUUUUGGCAGUCGGACAAAAGCUCUAGGAACGUAGCUCCUCUCGGGGAGUGUUAUAGCCCGGGGUAUAAUGCGAUUAGUUGGGACCGAGGACCGCGCUUCGGCUAGGAUACUGGCGUAAUGGUUGUAAGCGACCCGUCUUGAAACACGGACCAAGGAGUCUAACAUCUAUGCGAGUGUUUGGGUGUCACACCCAUACGCGUAAUAAAAGUGAACGGAGGUGGGAACCUUAGGGGGCACCAUCGACCGAUCCUGAUGUCUUCGGAUGGAUUUGAGUACGAGCAUAGCUGUUGGGACCCGAACAGAUGGUGAACUAUGCCUGAAUAGGGUGAAGCCAGAGGAAACUCUGGUGUAGGCUCGCAGCGGUUCUGACGUGCAAAUCGAUCGUCA
rnacentral:rRNA from 1 species